GGAGUGGGCUAAGCGAUCGCUGUGCGGGGAAAUCCGCAUGGAGGAAAGUCCGGGCUCCACAGGACACGGUGGUGGGUAACGCCCACCACUCGCGAGAGUCGGGAAAGUGCCACAGAAAACAAACCGCCCUACCGGAGCUGAAAGGCCCCGGAAGGGUAAGGGUGAAAAGGUGCGGUAAGAGCGCACCGCGGUUCUGGUGACAGAACUGGCAGGGCAAACCCCACCGGGAGCAAGACUAAGCAGGGCGAAGACCGGGUGGUAAGGAACAGAACUGACAAGUUUCAAGAAGCAAGUGACCAGGAAACUCCUGAUGUCACGUGUCCACUUGCCACUUUCUCUUCUUUUCCACUCGGUCACGGAGCUGUCCGUUCCGUCUGACGUCCGGGUAAGUCGCACCGAGCUGUGAGGGCAACCUCCAGCCCAGAGAAAUGGUCGCUCACGACAGAACCCGGCUUACAGGCCCACUCCGAAC
rnacentral:RNase_P_RNA from 1 species